UACAGAGGGUGCGAGCGUUAAUCGGAAUUACUGGGCGUAAAGCGUGCGUAGACGGUUAUUUAAGUCGGAUGUGAAAGCCCCGGGCUCAACCUGGGAAUUGCAUUCGAGACUGAAUAGCUAGGGUACGGUAGAGGGAAGCGGAAUUUCCGGUGUAGCGGUGAAAUGCGUAGAUAUCGGGAGGAACACCAGUGGCGAAGGCGGCUUCAUCGUGCC
rnacentral:rRNA from 1 species